rnacentral:rRNA from 1 species
AUUGAACGCUGGCGGCAGGCCUAACACAUGCAAGUCGAGCGGUUGAGGUAGCUUGCUACCGAUGCAGCGGCGGACGGGUGAGUAAUACAUGGGAAUCUGCCUGGUAGUGGGGGACAACGUUUCGAAAGGAACGCUAAUACCGCAUACGCCCUACGGGGGAAAGGGGGGGAUCUUCGGACCUCUCGCUAUCAGAUGAGCCCAUGUCGGAUUAGCUUGUUGGUGAGGUAAAGGCUCACCAAGGCGACGAUCCGUAACUGGCCUGAGAGGAUGACCAGUCACACUGGAACGGAGACACGGUCCAGACUCCUACGGGAGGCAGCAGUGGGGAAUAUUGGACAAUGGGCGCAAGCCUGAUCCAGCCAUGCCGCGUGUGUGAAGAAGGCCUUAGGGUUGUAAAGCACUUUCAGUGGGGAGAAAGGUUAUUCACCUAAUACGUGAGUAAAUUGAUGUUACCCACAGAAGAAGCACCGGCUAACUCCGUGCCAGCCGCCGCGGUAA